UCGUUCCGGUGGUCUAGUUUGGUUAUGACAUCGGUCUCAUAAUCCGAGGGUCACGAGUUCGACUCUCGUCCGGUGAG
rnacentral:tRNA from 1 species